GACGUAGGGGGCGAGCGUUAUUCGGAAUCAUUGGGCGUAAAGCGCUCGUAGGCGGGAAGGCAAGUCCGUGUUGAAAGACCCCGGCUCAACUGGGGGACCGGCUCGGAUACUGUUUUUCUUGAGGCAAUCAGAGGGUGAUGGAAUUCCCGGUGUAGCGGUGAAAUGCGUAGAUAUCGGUAGGAACACCAGUGGCGAAGGCGGUCUCCUGGGGCAUUCUUGACGCUGAGGCGCGAAAGCUGGGGGAGCAAACGGG
rnacentral:rRNA from 1 species